UGACACAUCAUCGCCUUCCUGUCCUGCCUCACAGUCCCCCUCAGAAAUGGGAGGCCGUCACCCACGCUUCCACUGCACCCCAGGACUCCAGGAAGACAACGUGCAAAGAGCCUGGGUGCAGCAGAUGAAGUCACAAUACAGCCAAGCCCCUCCUCCUUGCUGGCAGCAAGAACAGAACCCAAAUCUCAGAGGGGGAGGUGGGGCGGGCCCCACUGGAUGUGCCAGGGACCAGGACCAGGCCACGCUGGGCCAGAGCUGUCAUGGUUCAGGCCUUGCACACAGAACCACAGAACAUGCUCAACAAGCCCCCUAAGCUUAGGGGCACUGACCUACCCUGGGGACCAGUAAUCUUCAAGGUAGGGCGCAGAACACCUGCCAUGGACCAAUGGAGUGUUCACCAGGCCAGGCACAAUCUUACCUAAUCACCCCAGAAACCCUGGGACGGAGGCCCUGCCAUUACAACUGCACUCCCGUUUUACAGAUGAGAAAGCGGAGGCACAGCGGUGCCCUGAUACGGCCAAGAGAAGCACUGUGGGUAAGCAGGAGAGCUAGGAACAGACCCCAGCUGCCCUCGCUGGCGAAUGCACAGAACCAUUACAUCAUCCUACCCCGAGACCCAACCAAGAGGUACCCACACCCCGUGGCAGCCGGGGCUGAAGGCCUGGAGAUAGGAGAGGAGGCCCCACAUACUCCAGCACCCAAGGCAAUGAGAGAAACUGAGGCCCAGGAAGGUGCUAGGUCCGUGAAGAGGAAGGUGGGAAGGUAAGGCAGGCUGCCUGGGUAGGGCGGGGCCACCCAGUUAAUGAUUCAGUUAAUAAUUUCUGCUCCCAGUUCCUUAUCAGGGAGGGCAAAGUCCAAGGGUGGCAGCCAAUGAGCAGCUCUGCUGGGCUGUUACCCAGCAGCCUCUGCUGCCAGGGCCCUCCAGUCUGUAACCCCUUGGGAGUUGGGCUGGGCAGUGAGCUUCUUCAGAGCUGAGGUUCUUCUCUGCCACCCCCUCCUGUCUUGCAGGCACCUUAUCAAGGAGAUGCUGUUGUUACCUGCAUUUUACAGAUGGGGAAACUGAGGCUCAAUGCAUUAAGGACUGCCAGGAAGCCCUGUCCUGUGGCUGUGAUGAUGGAAAUGUUCCCUGUGUUGUUCAGUAUGGUAGUCACUGGCCACAAGUGAGCACUGGAAAUGUGCCUAUUGAGACUGAGGAACUGAUUUUUUCAUUUUGUUUAAUUGUAAUUAAACAGUUACGUGUGGCUGUGGUAUUGGACAAUGCAGGUCUAAAAGCUCCUUUUUUUUUUGAGAUGGAGUUCGGCUCUGUCGCCCAGGCUGGAGUGCAAUGGCGCGAUCUCAGCUCACUGCAACAUCUGCCUCCUCGGUUCAAGCGAUUCUCCUGCCUCAGCCUCCCCAGUAACUGGGAUUACAGGCGCCACCACGCUGGGCUAACUUGUAUUUUUAGUAGAGACGGGGUUUCCUCAUGUUGGCCAGGCUGGUCUCGAACUCCUGACCUUAGGUGAUCAGCCCACGUUGGCCUCCCAAACUGCUGGGAUUACAGGCAUGAGCCACCGCUCCCCGCCCUGCCUAAGAGUUUCAAGGUCAUUAAAGUUCAGAGCCAAAUCCUGGCUGCCCCGGGAAUCCGAACUCUCCUUUGCCGUGGCCCUGUCUGGUAUAAUGAAACCUGGAGGUUCUAACUCGAUAUAAGUCCAGGAUAAAGCGGUUGUCCUUGUGCCCCUGCCUUCACCCUUAUGACUGACUGCCUCCACAUCUCUGUCCUGCCCAACUUGCACAGCCUCUCGUCUCACUGAUAUCCCCUUCAGUUCUCCCAAAUCACCCUUUCUGAAACAUACAUCCGAUCAUGUCAUUCCUUUGCAAAACUAAGUUUCCCUUUGCACUCAAAACAAUAUCUGAAUGUCUUGCUCUGGUUUCUCAGGCCCCGCCUCUACCACUGGCCUCAGCUCUUCCCCUCUCUCCAUUGCUCACUGAAUAACAGCCACCAAGACCUCCUUGCCAUUGCUCAAACAUGCAAGGCCUACACCUGCCACAGGGCCUUGGCACAUGCUAUUCCAUCUGUUUACAAUGCUUGUCUCCACAUGGCUACUUCUUUGUAGCAGUUGGUCUCAGCUCAAAUGUCAUGUCCCCAACCAGCCUACCUAAAGCAGUUCUCCCUACCUAGGCCUUUCUUGCUCACCAUGUAAAAGAUUCCUAUUUAGUUUCUGUUAUUAUCCUUCUUGCUCUAGAAUGGAAGCCCUACGAGGGCAAGAUAUUUUUCUGUAUCGGUCACUGCUAUAGCUUCAACACCAAGAACAUGACCUGGCACACAGUAGGUGCUCAAUAAAUG
rnacentral:lncRNA from 10 species